rnacentral:lncRNA from 1 species
GGGCUCGGUUUGGUCCAGCACCGCCGCCGCCGUCUUCCGCCGCCGUCCGGCGUGAGCACCGGCUCCGCCUGGCCGGCCGCACUCGUCCGCCGCCGGCGCCCCCACCGCCGGAGCUCCCUGUCAACCGUGGUGAGCCCAUGCUCUCCUCGGGUUGUACAACUAGGGCAUCAAUGCCCGCCGUCGUCGCCGCCUCCCGUCGCCUGUUGACGCGAGCCCCGGCCUCCUCUGACCUGGAGCACCUUCCCCUGGCCGGCCUGCCCGCCGUCCGGCCGCCGCCGGCCACCCCGAGCCCUGCCUAGCUUUGUAAGCUUGAUUUCAGCCUUUCUGUGCAUAGUCUCCAGUUCUGUUCACUGUUCCGGCGACCCGAGGCUGUUCCGAUGCCUCCGGGGGUGAGCACGGUGAUAGUCUGUCAGUCCUGAUCACAGUGCUCACCUCAAUUAGGGUCAGUGAGCCCCUGGUUAGCGAGAUAAACAUGUUUUUCAUGCUGUGCGCGCUGUUCGCAGAUUUUCGCGUCACUCCCGCGCUCUCCGCUGUGGCCGAAAUUGCUCCAAAAGGUGAGCACGGCCUCCGGCAGGUCGAAACCUGUCAGUGGGUAUCUUGGCUAGGCUGAUU